rnacentral:lncRNA from 1 species
AUUAAUCGGGCGUUUGGUGCAGUAUCGGAUUAGUGACCGUAUUAUUUAUACUGUGUUUGGUAUUAUAUCGGAUAUGAGGAAUCACACUUAAAAUAAAAUUAAACUUAAAAUAAAAAAAAAUAAAAAAACUGAAAUCUUGUUCCAGAUCUCUCCGCACCCCCCAAACUCCCUCCCUCUCUCUCCAUUCUUCUUAUUCCCCGACCACAGAAGAAUCCCAAAUAAUUUUUCCCCAGAUCUCUCCGUCACACCCCCAAACUCCCUCCCUCUCUUCUUCUUCUUCCCCGACUGCAGAAGAAUCCCAAAUAAAUUCAAACAGCAAAUUGAAAUCAUCUAUCCGCCGCAGAAAACGACGGCAGAAAACCCGACUGCAGAAAACCCAGUUGCAGGGGAGGACGACAAGUAGGCGAUGAGGAAGGCCACUAGGAGAGGACGACGAGGAUGGCGACGAGGACUAGGAGAGCAAAGAUGGUGAGAGAAAGCAACGGUGACAGAGAGACGGCAAGAGAAGGCAACAGUGAGGACGACAAUGGCGAGAAAAGGUGACGGGGAGGACGACGAUGCCAAGAGAAGGCGAGAGAGAGGGGGUCGAGUUCGCAAGCGGAGAGCGAGGCCGACUAAAUUAUACCGUGAAUUUGGAAAGUAUAAGCAAGCAGGUAAACACCGGAUAAAAAAAGUGGGCCCAGAUUAUUUAAUCCGGUGCCUAUUUAAUCCAAACGGCCACCAAACACCAUACACCGUAUUAUUAGUAUUAUCCGGUGCCUUAUACGGUGUGCCAAACAGGGCCUCAUGGUAUUAGGGUCGAGUUCCCAACCCAAGUUUAAUUAUAAACUCAUAAAAUGCUUUAACAUACACAUUUUCGUGCUAAUACGUAAAGUUCAUUGCAGGAAGUUGGUCACUACAAAUAUAUGCAGUUACAUAAUUUGGAUCGUAGGACUUAGGAAGUUACAAUUGAUUUACAUUUUAAUCCUGAUGCUUGUUAUAUAGUUAUCACUGCCAAGGUUUUUCUGGUGGAUAAAAUUUGGUGAGAUCGGAGUUUUGCUUUGAAGUAAAGCUAUAUCAUCGUAACAAAAACUGUUGGCAGAAUUCGAGUUGAAGCAUUUGAGGUUGGGUAGGAAUCGUGCCCCAAAAGUAAAGGAU